UACGUAGGGGGCUAGCGUUGUCCGGAAUCAUUGGGCGUAAAGCGCGUGUAGGCGGUCCGGUAAGUCCGCUGUGAAAGUCGAGGGCUCAACCCUCGAAUGCCGGUGGAUACUGUCGGGCUAGAGUACGGAAGAGGCGAGUGGAAUUCCUGGUGUAGCGGUGAAAUGCGCAGAUAUCAGGAGGAACACCAAUUGCGAAGGCAGCUCGCUGGGACGUUACUGACGCUGAGACGCGAAAGCGUGGGGGAGCAAAACGG
rnacentral:rRNA from 1 species